CCCGCGCCUCUCCCUCCACACCUCCCCACAAGCUGAGGGAGCCGGCUGCGGCCUUCGCCAGCCCAGAAAGGGGCUCCUACAGUGCAGUGGCGGGCUGAAGGGCUGCUCAAGCGCCGCCAAAGUGGGAGCCCAGGCAGAGGAGGCGCCCAGAGCGAGCGAGGGCUGUGAGGACUGCCAGCACGCUGUCACCUCUCACUCAUAUAGAUUGCCAAUCUAUUUGUGAACCAGGUUUGCUGGAGUUUGGAUUUACUACUGAGUCAUAUUUGGAGCAUGCUGGAAUCUUACAACUGAGAUUACCGAGUCAGAAACUAUAAUGGAUAAUAAACCAGCUUACAGUACCCAAAGGAGAGCUUCUUGGACCCUGGAAAAGUCUUCAAAUGCACCGCAUACACAUUAAACUUUUUUUGCCCUCUGAAGAUGCCUUUGAAUCAAAUAAAAAUUGCUUUACUUUCAAAAUCAAGAAUCAAUUUUCCAGAGUUCCCUGGUUGAAAAGGAUAUUUUUAUCUGUGGCCUCAUCUGAUUCUUGAGGAAUUUAAUUCUCCAUUUUUCAAAGUUUGGAUGGGAGUACUCUAGGAUUCACUUGGGGGGCAUUUUAUAACCCAGAUUGCUUCCCAAUACCCUUCUUUAUUUCUCAUCUCAGACUCCAUGGAUUUAGCCUUCUACUCUUUCUG
rnacentral:lncRNA from 1 species